GUUGCAUGAAGGAGAGGUCUCCAAUCAUUCCCCCCUGCACAUGAGCAUCUGCAACUCCAAAUAAACCACUAAUGACACAAAUUCCAAUAAAAGUUCCAAGGCCUCCUCCUCCUGAUGUAGCCAAAUCCAAAACUAAAACAAGAAGAGAGCUGAUGAAAAAUAGGACAUAUCCAAACAGGUUCCUUUUUCUGGUAUUCAGUUUUGCCUCAUG
rnacentral:misc_RNA from 1 species